UACGUAGGGCGCGAGCGUUGUCCGGAAUCAUUGGGCGUAAAGAGCUCGUAGGCGGCCUGUCGCGUCUGCUGUGAAAUCCCGGGGCUUAACCCCGGGCGUGCAGUGGAUACGGGCUGGCUGGAGGCAGGCAGGGGAGAACGGAAUUCCCGGUGUAGCGGUGAAAUGCGCAGAUAUCGGGAGGAACACCGGUGGCGAAGGCGGUUCUCUGGGCCUGUACUGACGCUGAGGUGCGAAAGCGUGGGGAGCAAA
rnacentral:rRNA from 1 species